GCGGGGAUAGCUCAGUGGAUAGAGCGGCGGUAUAAGAAAUGUGGAACGGGUAUUUCACUAACAGCAAAAUUCUUGGGGAACCGUAAGUCGUAGGUUCGAUUCCUACUCCCUGCACCA
rnacentral:tRNA from 1 species